GACGUAGGAGGCGAGCGUUGUCCGGAGUUACUGGGCGUAAAGCGCGCGCAGGCGGCCCUGUGCGCUGCCGGUGAAAGCUCCCGGCUUACCUGGGAGAGGUUCGGCAGGACGGCAGGGCUGGAGGGUGGGAGAGGUCGGUGGAAUUCCCGGUGUAGCAGUGAAAUGCGUAGAGAUCAUGAGGAAGACCAGUGGCGAAGGCGGGUCUCUGGACAGUUCCUGACACUGAGACACGAAGGCCAGGGGAGCAAACGGG
rnacentral:rRNA from 1 species